CAAACAAAGCCCGAUAAACCAAAGCGUAUCCCAAAAUAAAGACAAGUCGCUGAUAUUACAAUUGAUAUUAUACAUGUUUAAAUAUGUUAAUUCGUACUGAAAUUCAACAUUAUUAGCCAAUUGUAUACAAUAACAUCUGAUAGAGUAUGUGCUCAAUACGUACCCGGGUGUAUGUAUGUAAAUACGAUAAGCAUGGGCAUAUACAUAAAUUCAUACUUUAAUGACUUUUAAUCUGCAAAUGCUGUAACUAGGGCAUCUUCUAUAUGCCCAUCUUCGUAACAAAAAACAAAUAAAGAAAAAAAAACACUAUUUUUGUAUAUGUAUAUAUAAGUAUAUUGUAUAGUCACAAAAAUCGGAAUAUGAAAUGAAAAUCAUGCAGCAUAUAAACUAAAAUACGUAUUAUAUAAAUUAUACAAAA